CCUACGGGUGGCAGCAGUGAGGAAUAUUGGUCAAUGGGCUUACGCCUGAACCAGCCAAGUCGCGUGAGGGAAGACUGCCCUAUGGGUUGUAAACCUCUUUUGUCAGGGAGCAACGCCGGCUACGUGUAGCCGGCCUGAGAGUAUCUGAAGAAAAAGCAUCGGCUAACUCCGUGCCACCAGCCCCGGUAAUACGGAGGAUGCGACCGUUAUCCGGAUUUAUUGGGUUUAAGGGUUGCGUAGGCGGAAUGCCAAGUCAGCGGUAAAAUCGCGGGGCUCAACCGCGCUCCGCCGUUGAAACUGGCGUUCUUGAGUGGGCGAGAGGUAGGCGGAAUGCGUGGUGUAGCGGUGAAAUGCAUAGAGAUUACGCAGAACUCCGAUUGCGAAGGCAGCAUACCGGCGCCCAACUGACGCUGAAGCACGAAAGCGUGGGUAUCGAACAGGAUUAGAUACCCCUGUAGUC
rnacentral:rRNA from 1 species